rnacentral:rRNA from 1 species
CCCCUAGAUGUUCUGGGCUGCACGCGCGCGACAAUGACGUUUGCAACGAGAUACGAGACCGAAAGGUUAAGUUGAUCUAGCAAGCUGCGUCGUGAUAGGGACUGUCGAUUGCAAUUAUUCGACACGAACGAGGAAUUCCUUGUAAUCGCACAUCAUCAGUGUGCGCUGAAUACGUCCCUGCCCUUUGUACACACCGCCCGUCGCUCCUACCGAUCGAGUGAUCCGGUGAAUGUUUUGGAUCGGUUGCAAGUUGCGCGACGCGCUUCUUGCAUGCUGUGAAAUCAUGUAAGCCUUAUUGCUUAGAGGAAGGAGAAGUCGUAACA